rnacentral:lncRNA from 1 species
GAGAAAGCAUUUUUUCACUCUUCAGCCCUAGUGCUGGUGUAAGGCCAUCGCUGUCUCUGUGAGGGAUGCUGGAGCUCAGGCCGAGGGGCAGCUGAACCAGAAGGGACGGCCCUGCUCAAGGAGACCCUAGAAGAAAACCAGGACUCGAAUGUACAGGAAUUCAGAGUGUAGCCUCGGAGGAGGGUGGGUCUCAGAUAGGGGUCCAGGACCCCUGCACCCAACUGGCAUAAACAACAACAGAGUGCAUUUGAGACUCACCCCUGGUGAACUGGGCGUCAUGGCUGAAAAGUCACCUGUAGACCUCAGGAUCUCUCAGGUGGCCACUGGCGCUGCAGGGGUGGCCGUGGCGGCGGCUGCUAUGGAGACCGUUGGUCUGUGUCUCAAUCCAGCGGCUGGUUGUGCAUUUUGUGGGCUCCCGGAUCAAAGUCUCUUCUCACCUCCCGAGAUGUGGUUUUUAUUUUCAUCUUGACUGUGUCCUUUCUCUCUCCAGCUGCUCACACAAAGACACCCAGACUUUGGAACAUCCUGGCACGCUGUCAUUGUUUGCCACUUUCUCAACACCUUUCUCCUGUCCAAAGUGCUGCCUGACAAGGAGUUUGAAAAAUUAGAUGACUGCGAUUUUCCUUGCUCUUUUAUUCCUCUCUCUUUGAACACGACAGGAAGUAUAACAUAUCUUUACCUCGUGUGACCCGCC